rnacentral:rRNA from 1 species
UCACCGAGAGAUGUGGGUAAUCUUUAAAACUCCGUCGUGCUGGGGAUUGAGCAUUGCAAUUAUUGCUCAUGAACGAGGAAUUCCUUGUAAUUGCAAGUCAUCAGCUUGCGAUGAAUACGUCCCUGCCCUUUGUACACACCGCCCGUCGCUACUACCGAUUGAAUGGCUUAGUGAGGCGUCCGGAUUGGCUGGUUUCGGUGGCGACACCUUAGCCGGCCGAGAAGCUCGUCAAACUUGGUCAUUUAGAGGAAGUAAAAGUCGUAACAAGGUUUCCGUAGGUGAACCUGCGGAAGGAUCAUUAUCGAGUGAUUUAUUUCAAUUUUCUGUGAACAUGUACNGUGCUUGGGCGUUGUUGACUCCCGCCCUGGGAGUCCGAUGAACCCCAAAACCUUUAAAAACAAUUCAGUAAACCCCCAAACAUUAAAACUUUCAACAACCGAACCCCUGGGUUCCCGCAUCCAUGAAGAACGCAGNCCAAUCCCGAUACCUGAUGGGAAAUGCAGACAGUGAAUCAUUGAAUCCUUGAACCGCCCAUGNGCCCCUAAGGGAUUCACCNAGGGACUGGCGUUGGUGAAGCGUCGCNUACCCCUCGNAAUUUUCCCCGAAUUUUCCAAAGGCNGACUAAGAAAGUACCUUUUCCCAAACCACNACUUUUUGACCUCAUCUACCCAAAAAUACCCCCUGAACUUAAGCAUAUCAAUAAGCGGAGGAAAAGAAACCAACAGGGAUUGCCUCAGUAACGGCGAGUGAAGCGGCAAAAGCUCAAAUUUGAAACCGUUCGCGGGUUGUAAUUUGUAGAGUGUCUUGUGACAUUGGCAUAAGUACCUUGGAACAGGUCGUCAUAGAGGGUGAGAAUCCCGUUGCCUACGUCGUUAUACUUGAUACUCCAAGAGUCGAGUUGUUUGGGAAUGCAGCUCUAAUUGGGUGGUAAAAUCCAUCUAAAGCUAAAUAUUGGCGAGAGACCGAUAGCGAACAAGUACAGUGAUGGAAAGAUGAAAAGAACUUUGAAAAGAGAGUGAAAAAGUACGUGAAAUUGUUGAAAGGGAAGGGUAUGCUGGGAGUCUUUGAGUUGUUGUUCAGCGGUUCUUCGGGGCCGUGUAUUCAGCCUCUCUUUGGAGCCACGGCGGUUUUUGUGCGGAUAAAGCUGUUUCCUUCGGGUUUCAUCAAUACGCACAUUUGCCGUCCUGUCUCCGUAAUCCCAACAUACCACCCGUCUUGAAACACGGACCAAGGAGUCUAACGUCUAUGCGAGUGUUUGGGUGUCAAACCCCAGCGCGAAAUGAAAGUGAAAGAUAGGAACAUUUGUGCACUAUCGACGGAGCGUGAAGUUUACGGAUCGCCUCCAGUAAGCAUAGCUGUUGGGACCCGAAAGAUGGUGAACUAUGCCUGAAUAGGGUGAAGCCAGAGGAAACUCUGGUGGAGGCUCGUAGCGGUUCUGACGUGCAAAUCG